UAACGCGAAGAACCUUACCAGGUCUUGACAUACUAUGCAAAUCUAAGAGAUUAGACGUUCCCUUCGGGGACAUGGAUACAGGUGGUGCAUGGUUGUCGUCAGCUCGUGUGGUGAGAUGUUGGGUUAAGUCCCGCAACGAGCGCAACCCUUAUUAUCAGUUGCCAGCAUUAAGUUGGGCACUCUGGUGAGACUGCCGGUGACAAACCGGAGGAAGGUGGGGAUGACGUCAAAUCAUCAUGCCCCUUAUGACCUGGGCUACACACGUGCUACAAUGGAUGGUACAACGAGUUGCGAACUCGCGAGAGUAAGCUAAUCUCUUAAAGCCAUUCUCAGUUCGGAUUGUAGGCUGCAACUCGCCUACAUGAAGUCGGAAUCGCUAGUAAUCGCGGAUCAGC
rnacentral:rRNA from 1 species